rnacentral:rRNA from 1 species
CCAAUAGCGUAUAUUAAAGUUGCUGCAGUUAAAAAGCUCGUAGUUGAAUUUCGGGACCAAUAUGUCGGUCGUGCUUCGGUACGUACUGUCAUAAUUGGUUUCUCCCUUCUGAAGAACCUUGAUGUCAUUAAUUUGGUGUCUUGGGGAAUCAGGACUGUUACUUUGAAAAAAUUAGAGUGUUUAAAGCAGGCUCGCGCUUGAAUACAUUAGCAUGGAAUAA